CCUACGGGAGGCAGCAGUGAGGAAUAUUGGUCAAUGGACGCAACUCUGAACCAGCCAUGCCGCGUGCAGGAAGACGGCUCUAUGAGUUGUAAACUGCUUUUAUACGGGGGUAAACGCAGAUACGCGUGUCUGUCUGCAGGUAUCGUACGAAUAAGGAUCGGCUAACUCCGUGCCAGCAGCCGCGGUAAUACGGAGGGUUCAAGCGUUAUCCGGAUUUAUUGGGGUUAAGGGGGGCGUAGGCGGUCGGCUAAGUGAGAGGUGAAAUGCCGAGGCUCAACUUUGGAAUGGCGUCUGCUACUGGGGGGCUAGAGGGGAGUGGAGGUAGGCGGAAGGGAUGGUGUAGCGGUGAAAGGCGUAGAGAUCACACAGAACACCGAUUGCGAAGGCAGCUUACCGAGCUACUUCUGACGUUGAGGCACGAAAGCGUGGGGAGCAAACAGGAUUAGAUACCCGAGUAGUC
rnacentral:rRNA from 1 species